rnacentral:rRNA from 1 species
UACGAAGGUGGCAAGCGUUGUUCGGAUUUACUGGGCGUACAGGGUGCGUAGGCGGUUGGAUAAGCCCUCCGUGAAAUCUCCAGGCUUAACCUGGAAAGUGCAGAGGGGACUGUUCAGCUAGAGGAUGGGAGAGGAGCGCGGAAUUCCCGGUGUAGCGGUGAAAUGCGCAGAUAUCAGGAGGAACACCGGUGGCGAAGGCGGUGAUCUGGGCCGACACUGACGCUGUAGAGCGAAAGCGUGGGGAGCGAACAGG